rnacentral:rRNA from 1 species
UAUUUUAAAGAGAGUUUGAUCCUGGCUCAGGACGAACGCUGGCGGCGUGCCUAAUACAUGCAAGUCGAACGAACGGAGGAAGAGCUUGCUCUUCCAAAGUUAGUGGCGGACGGGGGAGGAACACGUGGGCAACCUGCCUGUAAGUUGGGGAUAACUCCGGGAAAACGGGGCGAAUACCGAAUGAUAAAGUGUGGCGCAUGCCACGCUUUUGAAAGAUGGGUUCGGCUAUCGCUUACAGAUGGGCCC